UACGGGGGGAGCAAGCGUUGUUCGGAUUUACUGGGCGUAAAGGGCGCGUAGGCGGCCACCGCAAGUCGACUGUGAAAUCUCCGGGCUUAACCCGGAAAGGUCAGCCGAUACUGCGGGGCUAGAGUGCAGAAGGGGCAACUGGAAUUCCCGGUGUAGCGGUGAAAUGCGUAGAUAUCGAGAGGAACACCUGCGGCGAAGGCGGGUUGCUGGGCUGACACUGACGCUGAUGCGCGAAGGCUAGGGGAGCGAACGGG
rnacentral:rRNA from 1 species